GGGGAUAUGGCGAAAUUGGUAGACAUUNCGCCACUU
rnacentral:tRNA from 1 species